CACUACUUGCAAAAUUCAAUAAUUCGAAUUCAUAUAAUCUUGAAUGUCUUCAAAGAAAUGAUUAUUCUUGGGUUCUAAUGUUUUUGUCAAUAUUGGAAAAGACAAUGAAGAGUUAAUUAGUCUCUUUAAUUUUUGUAAAUGGGUAAAAUAUUAUUACUAACCUCUCUGAUUUAUUGCAAAUUCAGAAUAGUAAGAGGUAACUUAUUAUUGAUUGCUGGGAAAUUGCAUAAUGCUGAAAUGAAAAAAAUCGCUGAUUAAAGCUAGAGAAACUAUAUGUGUGUGUGUGUGUGUUCAUAUCCAUCAUGGUGAUUAUUCUUUCAGGUCAGAGAAAAUUUUUAAAUCAGGAAGCUAAAGACAUUCGAUGCUCAAGCUGAUUUUGGCUCCAGAGCGUCUUGAACUGUAUGGUAUUCCUGUUCCGAGAUACGCUCUCGUUAAUAGAGAUGUGCCAUACGAGGACCUGGAUUUUUUUUGUUGAGGAAAAGGAUUUUGUUGAAGUUCAUGGGAAUCGUUUUUGGAAGCCUUUUGUGGAAAAACCAGUUAAUGUUGCCUUUGGAAGAUCCCAAGUGCUUCCGUAUAGAAAUGACUUUUAGCCGUGGUGCAUAUUUAUCCCCUUUGGAGGUAAUAAUCAUUGAUAAGAUAUGACACAUUUACCUUUGACUACAACUGUUACUGCCCCUUGUCAGUUGUCACCGUAAUUGGGUUUCUGUAUUGAAGUGCACUAAAGUUACAUGGGGAAGUAACUUAUAAAAACAACUGGUCAUAGUCUUUAAAUUCUAUUACGGUUUUUCUAGUGUGUGCCCAUGAGCACAUACUAAGCGCGGAAUUUUAUAUGUUUGGGAGUUUUAGAUUGGCUCUCAUAUCCUAAUAAAUGGUGAACCCCAUGCAUAUACAACCACCACACCAAUCCAAAUCUCUCAAACAUAUAAAAUUCCGCGCUUAGCAUGUGCCCAUGAGCACACACUAGACAAACCCAUUCUAUUAUAAUAAUGUCUCUGUAAAUUCAUCUAUUGUCUGGGUAAAAUUUUCAGGAGAAAUUUUACUCGGUGACAUAUUUAUUUUCUUGACUAUUAGUAAUUGUUCCUUUGUGCAUCUGCAGUUCUUUUUUAGCUGUGAUUGUUGUGGUAGACGUAGAGUUGGCAUAUUAUAACUAUUUAGACAAUAUAGCCACCCAUCAUAGCAGACAUGAGUGCUAGAUCUUUUUUUUUUUUUUUUUUUAAUAUCUAGUUAAAGGGAGAUGGUCCCUAGCAAUUGAUUGUGGCAACAACUAUCCGCUGUUUUUUUCCGUGGAAAGGAAAAAACUCUAGAAUGAGUGUCUAAAGUGUGAAUGGGCUUAUAGGCCACUCAUGCUCACAAGAAAUCCAGGGUUAAUGUCUUUCGGUUAUAACAAACCGCGGAUAGUUUGCUGUAACAAUCGAUUGGCAGGACCCGAACCCGUAGUUAAAUUGCUUAAUAUGGAGUGUGAUUCACAGAAUUAAUGAACUUUAGCAGGUCAACAAUUUCAUAUAUUUUAUUGAACUUCUGCUUUCAUUUUAACAACACUGAAAAUCUUUUUGGAUGAAAUUACAUAACUUAUAACAGAAAUGGCAUAUACUGAAGCAAGAAGUUGAAUUGAUCGCACGUACACAAACAAGUUGAGCAUCUUUUAAUGUGUAAUAUAAGGCGAAAGCAAGAGGAUCAAACCUGGGUAUCCUGAGAUCUUCGAAUUACAGGGAAAACGUAAGAACAUAAAUUGUUUUAUUUUUUGUACAUAAAACAUACAAAGUGUGUAUCCUGAUCAAAGUCAUGGCAUUACUUGUUUGAUUAGAAAACGAGAAUCCUGUAACAAUAUACAGCAAGCUCAUGCACUCAUUAAUCAGAUUAUGAACUUGAGGGUAUAUGCAUUCAAGGUUCUAGUAUAUAAACUGCACCUAAACUUGCUAAUACACACAAUUCUUAUUUAAUACAUGAACUUGUUUAUAACCACUAAUCAGAGUGGUAUAUAAGUUACAUUUUGACGUAGAUAAUAAAUUUUUAUUUAUCACAUA